rnacentral:rRNA from 1 species
GAUGAACGCUGGCGGCGUGCUUAACACAUGCAAGUCGAACGGAAAGGCCCAAACUUGCUUGGGUACUCGAGUGGCGAACGGGUGAGUAACACGUGGGUGAUCUGCCCUGCACUUCGGGAUAAGCCUGGGAAACUGGGUCUAUUACCGGAUAGGACCUCAUGUUGGACGGUGUGGUGGAAAGUUUUUCGGUGUGGGUUGAGCUGGUGGCCUACCAGCUGGUUGGUGGGGUAAUGGCCUACCAAGCUGCGGACGAGUGGACGGACUGAGAGGGUGUGAGGCCACCCUGGGACCUAGAGGAGGCACAGGUUGCUAAGGGAGGGCGCUGUGGGGAAGCCUGACGAAGCGGCGCCAGCCUGAUGCAGCGACGCCGCGGGGCGGAUGACGGUCUUCGGGUUGUAAAACCCUUUCGUUAGGAACGAAGCGUUAUGUGACGGUACCUGGAGAAGAAGCACCGGCUAACUACGUG